GAGGCGCAGCGGGGUCUGGGGGGGCCGCUGGCGGCCCCCACCCACGAGGCUGCCCCGCGCCAGCUUCUGCAGCUCGACGGGCACCACGGCGCUGGGGCAGUGCUUCUCGAUGUAGUCCUGGAAUCCCUGCACUCCCAUGCCUGGUGCAUCUUGCUGUGGACCUGCUGCUCCAGAACUCCCCCAUUCUUGCUGCUGUAGAAGAGCUCCCAGCCUUCACCUCACUGCCAGGUCUGCAAGUGGCUGUAGGCUCACCUUGUGGGCAGCAAGCACGUGCCUCAUCUGCCAACCUGCUCCUACAAACCCCACAGCUUGCACAGAGCAGCCGAGCUGAGCUGAUGCCAGGAAAGUGAAGGUUCCCACAUCAGGAUGAUGGAAAAAGCAUGCAGAUAAAGCAUCAUUUGCCCAAGCAUGUCAUCAGAAACUGAGUUCCUAAAGCUCUUUUUCAUUAGGAGAUUUUCAAGGCCUGGUUAACCUGUGCCUGGUAUACUGAAGACAGCAAGCAUCUCACUGAAGAUUUCAGGGAGAGCAAGAGCAGACCCUGGGAGUGAAGAAACAUCAUUUGCAUUCACUUUGGUGGAUGGCUGUGUUCUAGGAGAACCUACAAACACUUCUUCAUGCUCCAGGGUACACUGAGGAGGGAGUAAAAUGAGUGAAAGAAAACAAGUGUGCCUCAGCUGUACCAGGACACGAUAAACACUGAAGCCUUUGGGCAUCUGAGAAAUAGACAUGUGAUGCAAGUGUAUAUAUACAAUGAAUGGACGUGGGACAAAUGUUUGAAGACCUAUUGCAACAAGUUGCUCACAAAUGAUCUACAGCAAUUGUUACUUCCAGAAUGGUUACUGAACAUGUGUUUGGAAAAAAGAUAUUUAAGCAAAUCAAUCUGCUUGUGGACAAAUAAUAAAAAGAGAAAAAGGAAAAAUUCCUCUAACAAAUAUGAAACUGCAAAUUAUUCACUCAGUUCAGUUGGCAACAACCAAUUUUUGUGGUAGUAGGAGCUCAUAGAGUAGGAGGUAACUGUGUGAAGAAUGAUUGGUUUGGUAUCUUAUAUUGCAAUUCUGGAAGGGCUUAAAUUUCUAAUUUAAAAGCUAUCUUCCUUCUUUUACCCAGUAAAGGAAACAAAAUGAUAGUUGAUUUCUGUGAGCUUUUUUGGGCAGAUAGGAUCUAUUUUAUGUCCUCUAGACACUGACAACAGCUAACAGCUAGCUCAUAAGAAAGAGCAGUUAUUUAUUAGAAAAGAUCUCUCUUGCCAGGAAAAAACCCCAAAGCCUGCCUAAGGAAGGAUAUUGCCAUCACAAUCCUCUUUGCAUCUUCCCAGGAAAGACGUAAUGGGUCUGAACUUGGUGCAUCUUUGAGUUAUGGAGCCUUGUGUAAGCUGCACUUCCACAGCCCGUUUUUCAGUACAAGCACUGAUUUACUUCCCUCUUGGAAGAAUAUAAAGCUCAUCUGGGACAUCUCUGAGCUAAGAGCACCUUUUGCUUCUCCUUCCCCAUUCCUGGGAUGAAGCCAGCCACCUUUUGGUGAGAGGCUCUGGGAUGCUGCAGUGGGAUGCCAGCAGAAUUGUCUUCUUCUCCAAAGUGACUAUAGCUUGCUCUGUUUAUACCUGUGGAGUGGUGGAUGAGAGUUUAGCAUUCAACUCUUCUCAACUCCUUACGCGCAUAUUCUUGAUUGAAUAUGUAACUCCUAAUUUAUUCACGAGCAGGCACAUGCUCUCUUCCAAGGCAUGGCAGAUGCGAGGGAGCACGCUGCAUCCCUACUGCUUUACUUCACAAAAACCUAAAAAUGCUAAAGCCAUAAAUAGGCAUUAUACCACAAUCUUUGGCUGAACGAUCUCCAAUGUUACUGCAGAUCUUAGUCAUAGUGAAAGCUUUUACAAGCUACUUUGAGCUAAUGGCAAAAUAGUUUUCCUUUAAAGCAGUGAUGUGUUCCUUUCCACAAAUGCUAAUUGCUAUGAUUAUAUUGUAAGUUCUGGGCUUCGUUACACUGAGCUUUAGUUAGCUUGUUAUAACUUUACCCUAACCAUUGACCAGAGAUUAAUUUUACCCUUUCUGUGGUUUUAGAGAGAAAGAUACAGGGACUGAGACUCUUUCAUGUCACCAAAGUCAGCAAUGGUAAAAAGGUGCAUUUCUGCAAGAAUGUUCUAGGCAACCUCCUCAGCAACAGAAGGAUGUGCUGCAGAAGCUGAUGUUCAGGAGCUAUUUCACCAGCCCACUAGGAUACAAGAUGAGGAUAUCUGCAUCCAGCUGAGCUAUGCCAAAACUACCUUGUCUUCCUGCCUCUUAUACCUUUCUUUUCAUGCUGCAAAUUCAUGUUAGUUUCAAGACUGCUUGAAAUGUCUGUGGCUGGCAAUGCCAGCCCAUGACUGGUGAACAUCCUACCCACUGCUGGUGCUUUAGGAGUCCUUUUGGCAGGACCUGCCUCCUUGGGACAGGAGCUGGAGCAUACAGUAGCUCAUCACCUCAUUGUCAGAGCACAGCUGAUAUGUUGGUGGACUAACUUCAACAAUUUCACUGCAAGAGAGCUUUAAUUCUGACUAUUGCAAGAAUAUAGACAAAUUUCUCAGUCUGCUUCAGUCUAUGAAUUGCAGAUACAUAUAUAGGUUGUUUGAUCCUGGAUAAAAACCCAUCACUGCCCUCUCUCUUUACCUUCCCCAUUCCCUGCAAUUUGGGAAUGUUUGCCUAGAAAGGGUAAGAAAACAUUCAGCUGCUGCAGAUCCUCCUAAACACACCAGCUUUUUUUUGUUUGUUUGUUUGUUUAAUUUGCUACAUAUGACUAAUUCCACUGAGUUUCUGCCAGGGAGAAUUUGCAACUCAAAGUACCCCAUGAGUGUGCUACAACACUGCCAAGAAUUGAAUACCACCAGUCUUCAUAAUUGCUGUUUUUCCAAAGAUCAGGUAUAGCAGAGGCUAUUUUGGGCUAUAAAUGGAAAUCAGAAAAUGGGAUUUUCUUUCCCUAUUAGUUCCUCUCCUGGGAAUUUUCGUCUUUUUCUCUGUGCACAUGCUUUGGUUGUUGGUAUAUUGGUAAUGUGGGUCUCUCAGAGCAUCCGUCACUGGAGCCUGUUCUGAAGCACUGCAAUGCCAGUGAACAUGGGAAAUCAUUCCCACUAGUACCAAUGUGCAGAUUGUUGAUAUAAUAUCAUGUAUUAGACCAAAACCAGAUCAGAAUAGCCUGAUUUACCCCAUGAUUCUGGUGACAGGUGAUUCAAAAGUAAGGUUUACAAAAUAAGUAAAGGUAUUUCCCAGCUACCUGUACUUCCUUUCCUAAUAGUGGCAAUCCAUUUGCAACUCUCAGUUUUGCAGAUUGCCUGUUACCUCCUGUGGAUGAUCAAAGUCCAAUCAUGAAUGCAGGCACUCUGGACUUGCAGUCCUGUCUAUAUCAGGGAUGUCUGGCCUUGCCUUCAGUUUACAGCACAGACAUUGCCAUCUUAAUCAUCCAUAUCAUAUAGAUCUAAUGCAAGAUCUUUGCAUGGCCUUUAAAUCUGAGAAGUUCCAAUUAUCAUUCUUUUAUCAUCAAUUCUUCUGUCAUCAUUUCUAUCAUUCUUCAUGAAUUACGCAUUUUUCUUUUUUUCUGGAAAAAGCUUUGCAUUAUUAGGAGUUCAAGAGAUUAGGUUUUGCUACAGCAACAUGCAGAUCUCAGAACUUGAGAACAAACCCUUAGCAUCAUAUGCACUUUUCUGUUGCCCCUAAUGGUAAUGAGAAGCGUUUUCUGGGCUAGAAAAUACCCUCGUUAGUUCAUGACAGGGUAAUUCUAGGCCUGUAUGCCCUUGUUUGAUUAAAUGGUGUCCUUUGAUAGGGUCAAAAAAUAAUUACCCUUUGAUAUUUUAGUCAAAUGUAGUACUACUGAGAGGCACUCUUUUCCUGGCUAUAGAAAUAAAGAACCCAUUUAACCUUGGAAAAACAUGAUUCAUGCUAUUUUCUUCAUAUAAGGAAAAGGAGUGGGCUUUUUUUUGGUACAAACCUAUUCAGUGAGAGAUAUCUUAGUGUCCUGGGGUGACUUUAUGAUGCUUGUAUCUGCAUUUGUCGGUUUAGCCCAGAAAUAAGUUUUGCACCUUUAGGUCUGGUUCCAAGAGUGAAGGGGGGACAAGAAGAAUCGUGGAGUUUGUUAUCAGAAACUGCUCUUGCACCUCUGCAUCCUUCUCCUGCACUGUGUUGUCUGCGGCAAGGACAGACAGCAGGAUAGAGCUCUACUUUGAUUUUUAGUUAGUUUUAGCUAGCUAAGGCAGAGAAUUUCUCUGGACUGUGGUUUUUCUUUUUUUGUGGAACUGUUUAGACCUCCUCUGGACUGAAAACCCAGAAGAGCACCAGCAGCUCACUGCUGUGGCCCACUGGGCUGGGCCAGGUUUGCAGCAUUUCCAGUGCCAGAGGGACUGAGAAGAGAAUGAGUUAGCAGAGCUAUAGCCCACGAAGGUGACUGUCUGAGCAUGUCAUCUCUUCUAAGUGGCAAGAGGUUUUAUUGUUUGAUAUUGUUCAUUUCUUUGUGCUGGUGAAUAUUUUGCCUGUUAAAUAAAAAAAAAAAUUUCCCACUUUCCUCCAAAGAAAUCUUUUGCUGAACCAGUUAAAGGAAGGGCUGCUUAAAUCUGCUUUCUAGAGGAGCCCCUUUGGAGGUUUUCUCACAAAUUUGCCCUAAACCAAGACACUUAGUCAACAGGGGUCAGCUCUGGCACUGAGAGAAGAUGAAAAAAUUUGAGACAAUAUGUGAAAAAACCCCGGAUGGCUUUAACUAAAUUAAUAGAAAAUGUAUUUUGUCUUUUAUCCAGCCAUCACAUGAUAAUCCUGACAUCCCAAACUUUUGUCACAGUCAUAUGCUCUCAUUUUCGUAGUCUUCCACUUUGCUUUGUCAUUUACAGCAUUCAUGUGCUUGACUUCAAGCAACCUGAUGCUGUUCACUAGUUACUUGAUUUGAUAUUAAAAUGUUGUUAAAAUUGAAAAAAAAUUUAGAAAUUUGGAGAAGUGUGACUCAGUAAAAAUUCUGAGAGCACAGUGAAAGAUGUAAAGUGACUGAACUCUUGGAUUUACUUUGAAGAGGUCCUGUCCCCCCCUGUCUCUCCUUGCCCACCACCAACUGCAGCCACCCUUGUUGAUGCUGCUUCCUCUGCACCUUUCAUUUGGAGGCUCCUUUUUUUUUACAUGAUUUAUGGAGAUAUCUUCAUCCUCAGCUCUCUCUAGUCCUCCUUCAGAAACAGCUGGAGACCCAGCAAUUACCUGUGCCUCCUUGCUCUAUCACCCAGCUCAAAGCCUUUAGACUAUUGAUGUUAACAGCUGACCCCCAUUCUUUAAUUCCACAGUUUUCUCUGUAAAGCCCCUUGUCCCAGCACUUCUUUCUCCUUGAGCCAUUGUGGUUCCUCAAAAUUAGAGGUGCCAUGGUUUAGCUGAGGUGUUAGGGAAUGGGUUGGACUCAAUGGUCUUGAAGGUCUCUUCCAACCUUGUGAUUCUGUAAAAAAAGAAAACAACCAAGCAAACAAACCAAAAAUAAAACAAAAACAACAACAGCAACAACAAAAACAAACAAAAAAAACCCCAAACAAACAAAAAAACCCCAAAAAACCCCAGUGAACAGAUGACAGCUGUGAGGACACACAGCUCUCAGCCAGCAGCAUCCUGACCUACAGCAGUGUCUGUGUUCAGUAACCACUGAAGCUGCAAAGUUAUGCCUAACAGCUGGCAGCUACAGGUCCAUUCCUGUAUUUGCAGCAUCCACCAGGUGCUUGAUUCCAUUGAUGAUCCUCUAGGCUAUCAGGGAGAGUUUGUAUUAGGAUAUGCAUCAGAAAAGCAGCUUUUCUCAGAAUAGGAAUCAAGAUCAGGAGGCAGAAACCCUCACUUCAUAAACAGGGCUUAAAUCUGAACAAGAAGUGUGGGCUAAUCUAUCUGCCAGUCCUCUCCUGCUAGAGCUAUGCUGCUUGAACAAGGAAUACUCUGGUUUUGUUAUUCAUGUUUUCUUAUAUUGCCCCAUGCCUACAUGUCCCAUAUGCUGUGUAGGCACAAAAGAGCCGGUCACCCUUGUGCAGAACAUCUGCAAUACUAAAUCAUGAUCCUUAUGUCCUGCUUUCUCAGCCUUCAACCAGAGGUUAUUUUUCAUCAGCAGUCUAAAAGGGCUCAGAAGAAAUCUCUUUUUGGUUUAAAUAAUUAACUACUUUGACCUGGAUAUUCUGAGAGGCCCCACUAAUCUCAGCCUUCACAGCAGUUUCUAAAAUAAAGUAAAAGCAAUAGAAUAAUAUGAAAUAACAUGACAAUAAUGAAAUGAAAUAAAGUAAAUUAGUCUAAGUCACCAUUAGUUUUAUGAUCGAGCUCUUCUGCUGCAUGCACAGCUCCGCUUGGGAUCAGACCUGUGCUUCUCCAUCCUGUUUGGUUUGUGCCCGAGGCAAUGUCAAGACAACAGUUUAUUUCAGAUGAAAAUUUGAUGCCAUGCUAUUCUGGGACUGAGUAAAAUUUGUUCUCCAUAAUUACUUUACAAUCAGUGAAGAGCUCUUUCUAAGAGCAGCUUGAUGCUUUACACAUAUGCUUUAAAUAUUCUGGGCUUGUACUGCGUAACAGCCAGAAAGGACAAUGGCCUGGAGAGUGCAGGGUGUUCACUUGAGAGGCCAUCAUCUUCUCAAAAGUGCUAUGGCUGUGACAGAACGGGCAGAAAUAGACCAUUUAACCAGUCCUGAGACUGCUAACAGGGGGUGAAAGAAGUCCAUAGAAGAACUGGAAAGUUUACGAUGUGUGAUAACACAUCGCUCUCUAGUUCUACGUGGAAUUUUAUUCAAAAAUAUAUGUACUUUAAUAAAUGAAAUAUCAGCCUGUGAUUUUAUUUCUCUGUUGCAGAAAGAAGGUGAAUAUACCAUUUAUUGGGAUCGUCUGGGUGUGCAGGCACUGCCUACAGUGUGUUUAACCGUGCCUCGGCAGGGCCAACACGGGCGGGCCCAGGCAGGGAGCGGGACAGGGAGGGCACAGCUGCCACCCCCUGCACUGUCACCAGACACUGAGUAGUGUCCCUUGGUGUCACCUGGCACUGAGCACGUGUCCCAGCACCUCCCUCAGCCACAGGUUAGACAGUCAGCUGUUAGACACCCCUGCUCUCCACCUAGCACUGGGUGCGAGAUGAUUGCACAGAUCCUGAGGUAGAGGAAGGGACAGCGGGGUGACACAGCCGAAGUCCCAACAUCUGCCUGCAGCUGGGCAAGAGGUGUCAUGGACACAAAGGGUCUCUGCUUACCUGCCCCAGACAUGGCAGCACCAUGCCCUGCAGGAAGAGUCUGGGCUCCUGCCUGUGACAUGUACACCCAUCGGGGCUGGGUUCCUGGUGUGCCAGUGCCCAGACACCCAUCUGGUCGGUGGCACUUGCUGGUGAUCCCUGGCAUAUGUCCCACAUCCGUGCACGUAGCAGGACACCAGGACCAGCUCUUGGCACCCUCUGGCAAGGCUGAGAUCUGCAAGUGACAAGUUCCACCCCAGCUCUGACCUUGCCUGUACUGUGAGACACUGGGCAGCACCACAAGCCAGACCCCAGGAUUUUAAUGGCACUUAGCAAAUCUCACUUGCAUCUUGGUUCUAGCUGAGACCAAUCUUCAGUGCUUGAGAGGAUGGGAAAGAAAAACAACCCAACACCCACAAGUUAGAUGCUCCACCAGCAGGAUUUUUUUUCUUUCCCCCACAGAUAACCCUAGGAAUCUAGCAGGGGAAAAACAAAAAGUUCCUUCUGUUCCCAACUACAGCAGUCCACCAAAUCCCUCAGGACUCACAACAAAAGCCAUUUGCUCCCUUACAGAAUUUCUACUUAGUUGCACAAUCCUUCCACAAGCUUCUCAAACCACCUCUGCAACCACAAGGUGCUCCAGAAUUUUUGUC